AUUGAACGCUGGCGGCAGGCCUAACACAUGCAAGUCGAACGAGUGGCGGACGGGUGAGUAAUGUCUGGGAAACUGCCUGAUGGAGGGGGAUAACUACUGGAAACGGUAGCUAAUACCGCCUACCAUCGGAUGUGCCCAGAUGGGCUUAUCUUGUUGGUGGGGUAAAGGCUCACCAAGGCGACGAUCCCUAGCUGGUCUGAGAGGAUGACCAGCCACACUGGAAUGGAGACACGGUCCAGACUCCUACGGGAGGCAGCAGGGGGGAAUAGUGCACAAGGGGCGCAAGCCGGAUGCAGCCAUGCCGCGUGUAUGAAGAAGGCCUUCGGGUUGUAAAGUACUUUCAGCGGGGAGGCGUUACCCGCAGAAGAAGCACCGGCUAACUCCGUGCCAGCAGCCGCGGUAAUAC
rnacentral:rRNA from 1 species